rnacentral:lncRNA from 1 species
UUAUUCAUCAAUUUAGUGUUAUCAGUUAAAAAGUUGGUAAAUGAUAACAUAAAUUGAUAUCAUAAUUCGUGAGCUAAGGUUAGUAAAAAAACUUAGCAAAAGGCAUAUUAACUAUUGUCUAUUAAGCAUAAUAUUUUUUAAGUCUUUAAUGCGUACUUUGUUUUACAUUGUGCGCAUUAUAAUAUUAUAUACCUACGUCCUACCUACAUAUAAUUACAAUAUCGAUUCCUUUAUUAUUCUAUAUUUCGUAGUGAAAUCGUGCGGAUAAACGAAAACGCAAAAAGAAACUGUUAGUUUCCCAAAGUAACUCGGUGUGAAAUCGAAUGUCGACUGAUAUUCUGUCAAAAAAAAAUGUUAAGUUGUAUUGAAAACAUUUUGAGAAAAAUAUGUUUCUUAAUGAUUUGGAGAACAGGUUGCAGCCAAAUGCUAUACCUACUCUAUUUCUAGAAACGAUGAAAAGAUGAUUGUGAUAUGAAUACGUAUACAUAGCUGAGUUGUUGACUAGUGACAAGGUUGUUCAAAAACAUGCACUACUGAAACGUAUAGUAACAAUGAAAUAUUGGCUCUUCCAUUAAUUGGUUCACCUGGAAUACAUGAUAGUAUUGACUAUUGACUAUUGACUACACUUCUCCUGGAUAUCAUCAUUAUUUCCUAGUGAAAAAUCUAUAUAUUUAGAUUUUCCUUUGGAUUUCAAAAGUCUUGAAAUUGAACUUAUUCAGAGAGGCAUACAACUAUGAUAGCCAUAUUAAUUGUACCUUUUAUAUUGGAUUGAUCAUUGUUGAAACGUCUAAAUUAGCACUUGGUAGAAAAACCGCAGAAACACCGAAGUGAGCGCACAAGGAAAAAGAAGCUGAGAACCAAAUUGAAAGCACGAGGAAUAAGCCAGAGAAAACCGAAUAGAAAAUGUGUAGUAAAACCCGGAUCACUUGCACCUGAAAAAUACAUAGAUUUUAAUUUUAAAAUAAACUGUUAAUAAUAAUGCAUUCAACAAUAUUUUACACUUUUAGAAAUCAUCAUUAAACUUGUGAAAAUGCCACACUGGCACACAUGGAUAAUGAAAUAAGAUACUAUUAGGUAUAUAUUAGAUAGAAUUAUAGAAGAUAUAUAAUAUUUGUGGAAAAAUUAUUAGCUCUAUGAUGCCUGUAGCCUGUGUUGACGGUUGUCACUUCCCAAAUAUUGGAUAUUUAAACAAUAAAUAUUGUACAUGUAUCAUUUUAACAAUUAUAUAAAAAGGAUACAACAAUACUGAGUUCAAUAAUAAAUGCAAUAAUCCAAUCUUGUGUACAACAGUAAAUGUAGACUGCAUGUCACCUGAAAAUGGAUGAGAAAAUAAAUAUAAUGUGAAAUAAUAUUCAACAAGAGCAAAUUGUAUUUAAUUGUUUCUAGGCCCUAGGAUGAUGAAAGAUUCAUAAGGUGAUAAAAGGUUUAUGAGUCGUAUCGUGAAAUCUUGUCAUCCAACUUAAUUUGCAAUAGCUUGUGAGCUGGAAUACUCAAAACAUGAACACUCCUUCAAUAAUAAAACUGUGACUGGAUAUUAUGUUUCAUACUUAUAAAUAAUAAACUACAUAGAAAUGUUUUUGUCAUUACUUAUGGUAUUUAAUAGUAAUGAAUACUCAAUUAAAAAGACAUUUUUUUUUUUUUUUUUACCUAUUUAUUGAAAGAA